CCAGGGUAUUAGGCAAACGCGCAGUGCGCCAGGCGGGGCGCGGUUUUGGCAAAGAGCCUGGAGACAAGUGCGCGGCCUGGAGGGCGCGCAGAACCGUUCGAAUGUCUGGGCUGGGAGCAGAUCCAGCAAGAAAUCUGAGAGAAAUGGUCCCAAAAGACAACUUUCAGAGCAGCAAGAAGAGUUGCUUAAAAAUGUAAAGAGGUUGCCUAAGGGCUUGAAUAGACAUCUCUCCUGAGAAGAUAUACAAGUGGUGGAGUAUGUAGAGGACAGACUGUGGAUGGUGACAUUGGAGAGAGACAUCAUGAGACCACAAGUCAAGCCAACGCUCCCUGGCCCUUUGGUUCAUUCCUGAAAGCCUUAAAAGACAGAAUCCUAAAACUUUCAGUGAGCCUCCUCUUUAGCUGCCUGUGCUCCCCUUUCUUCAAGUGUGUACUUUUUGCCUUAAAUAAAGCCUUCUUG